GACGAACGCUGGCGGCGUGCCUAAUACAUGCAAGUAGAACGCUGAAGAGAGGAGCUUGCUCUUCUUGGAUGAGUUGCGAACGGGUGAGUAAAGCGUAGGUAACCUGCCUUGUAGCGGGGGAUAACUAUUGGAAACGAUAGCUAAUACCGCAUAACAAUGGAUGAAACAUGUCAUUUAUUUGAAAGGGGCAAUUGCUCCACUACAAGAUGGACCUGCGUUGUAUUAGCUAGUAGGUGAGGUAAUGGCUCACCUAGGCGACGAUACAUAGCCGACCUGGGAGGGUGGACGGCCAAACCGGGACUGAGGCACCGCCCAGGCUCCUACGGGAAGCAGCAGUAGGGAAACAUCGGCAAAGGGGGCAACGCUGACCGAGCAACGCCGCGGGGGUGAAGAAGGGUUUCGGAGCGGAAAACUCUGUUGUGAGUCAAGAACGGGAGUGAGAGUAGAAAGUUCACACUGUGACGGUAGCUUACCAGAAAGAGACGGCUAACUACGUG
rnacentral:rRNA from 1 species